CUGACGUAAAGCGUCGACGUUCAAAGUUACAUCUCCAAAGUGCAGCUCUGUUCAGAGAUGGCCAAAGGGAAAGCAAAGAGCAACAGCAGCGAGGACUUAGUUCCACCUGAGUCUCGGUCACACAGAUCAAGAAAGAGGAAAUGUCCAAGCGAUGAAAGUUCCCUGACUGAUGAUGUUCAAGCUACUCUUCAUCAACAGAUAAUGCAGGUCACUGAAAGAAAUAAUACAGCAGUUGCUUCUCCACCACUACAGUGUACUCUACAGGAAUGUGCUAUGAUUACACAUCAACAAGAUGAGGGAGUAAAGCAAUCAGAUCUCCUAAAACCAGAUGACUCCAUCAAAGAGAAGCAUGCAGGAGUAAUACAUGAAGCAGCAAGUGUUCACUUAACAGAUGUGGCAGUUACAGGACAGGAAGAGACCAAUGUCACCAAACCCAAGAAUGAUUCUGAGCUGGAGGUAGAUACUGAUAAUGAUGCCAACAACAGUGGAAAGAACAAGGAGGAAAAUGCUUCAGAGGAUCGUAACAAAUCACCAUAUCAAACACGUUGUGGUCAACUCCUCUUGUCAGUCACUGAAGAGGGCGAUGGAUUCGGUGUAGCUGCUUUGGAGAAGAAUCCGGGUGCAAAGGAGGGCAGUAAUGUGGAGGAAAAUCAAGAAACCAACCACAGCAAACCCAGCACCGUGUGCAUGAAUGAUGGCAAGGAACUAACAAAGGAGGCAGCAGUGGUUUUAUCAGCCAAAAAGAAGCGAAGGAUGGAAUGUAUCACAGAGCAGAGUGAGACGGAGCUGCAGCUUCAGUCCAGUCACUGUGAAGGAGAUGACAGGUGAGAGUCAUAUGGUCCAUCUUUAGAUUCAAAGGUGACAACAUGCACGGUGGAAAGAGAUGUGUUAUGUCUAACUCUAGUACUGUUACAUUAUGUAGAUUUUAGCUGUGAGUACUUGAAAAAGUGGUGCAGUGUUGCUCAUUAAAAUUUACACAGAAUAAGUAUGUAACUAAACUUUAGUAGUUCUACAAACGUGAGUUGCGUUAAAACUUUAAGAGAGUUAAAUUUUGGUUGUUUUAGGCAAAAAACUUCACAUAGUAACGUGCAAAUUAAGGUUAUUGUUUUCUAUAUGGGAAACCUGUCUGUCAUGAGUUCAAUAGAAGUCAACAACAUCCCGCUAUGACAGAUGAAAUUUAAUAUUAAUCAACGUUACUUCUGAAAAGUUUUACUGGGAAAACAGUGAAAUUACUCCAAAACACAGUGUUAGAUGUGUCACAUCUUUAAAACAACAACAACAAAAAAAACAUAUCCUCUAUUGCAGCAACAGGAGUAAAAGUAAUUUGUUGCUUCCUUCUUUGACACUAACGAUGUUUGUUGACACACAGCACAGAUACCAAAGUCCUCAUCACUGCCACUGUCUCGGAUGGGACCGGUACUGUGUGCAGUCCAGGUUACUCAGAGGGAAGAAGCUGUGAAGCUGAAGGAGCCACAGUGCCUGGUCCAGAACCAACCGGUAGCUCAGGGUCAGAUCAACCGGCAGAAGAAGAAGAGAGAGAGCAUUUGGGGAACAAGAAGCAGCAGGAACUCGGGGGCAGCACAGCUGAGGUUCUGAUUGAAAUACCUGAAAAACAAAGUAAAAUGGAAGAAGAUGGUUCAACAGACGUCGACUCCAGUUCUUCCCUCACUUUUUACGCAAAACGGGAGAGUGAAAAGCAGGAUGCCAUCGAUGCUGCCAUUCUUCUGGCUAAUAGUGUGACCAUAACAAGAGAUGAGACGAAGGAGAAAACUAGUGAAGCAGUGGAUGGUGAUGGAGCUGGAGAAGCAGACACCCAGUCAGGAGGCUUAAACGCGAGCUCUAUGGAGCUCUGUGAGGCUGCAGUGACACCCAGUGUGUCAGAGAAGAAAGACAAUUGUGAUCCUGAUGACGAACCUUCUGCUGGUUCUCCCACUAUGAACGCUGAGAACACUCAGACCAGAAACCCUGGCGACCCGUCUGGAUGCUUGGAUUACGUGUCAGACUCACAGCUGAACACCAUCGUUUUGAUUGAGGAGAAGAUGACAGAGAAAGAACAGUCUGAUUCCUCAAACAGUCAUGAAGAUGCGUCAGAGCUGAUCUCUGGACUCAUCAGAGAACUUUCCUCUCUGAAUCAGAGGGUCAUGGCUGCGCAUCGAGAGCUGGAGAACCUGCGCCGUGGAAGCAAAAAUUCAAGGAGUUCCAAACGCUGAGGAUUUCCAUCAAAUGCUUGAUAUCCUGAUCUUGAUAGGUUGCCCCAAGUGUUCAUGGGUAAAGGAAGGCACUUUUUAAAAUGUUUUAUAUUUUCGUUCAUCACAGCUGGAGUGUUCAGUUUAAUUCAUUUGUUUAUUGUUCUGGUUCUCUCCAAAUAAAGCUGAGUGGAGUUCGUUCAGUCA